rnacentral:rRNA from 1 species
GACGAACGCUGGCGGCGUGCCUAAUACAUGCAAGUCGAGCGGAGUUACAGGAGCUUGCUCCUGUAACUUAGCGGCGGACGGGUGAGUAACACGUGGGCAACCUGCCUAUAAGACUGGGAUAACUUCGGGAAACCGGAGCUAAUACCGGAUAAUUCCUUUCCUCUCAUGAGGGAAGGUUGAAAGACGGUUUCGGCUGUCACUUAUAGAUGGGCUCGCGGCGCAUUAGCUAGUUGGUGAGGUAAUGGCUCACCAAGGCGACGAUGCGUAGCCGACCUGAGAGGGUGAUCGGCCACACUGGGACUGAGACACGGCCCAGACUCCUACGGGAGGCAGCAGUAGGGAAUCUUCCGCAAUGGACGAAAGUCUGACGGAGCAACGCCGCGUGAGUGAUGAAGGUUUUCGGAUCGUAAAACUCUGUUGUUAGGGAAGAACAAGUACGAGAGUAACUGCUCGUACCUUGACGGUACCUAACCAGAAAGCCACGGCUAACUACGUGCCAGCCGCCGCCGUAACAC